ACGAACGCUGGCGGCGUGCUUAAUACAUGCAAGUCGCACGAGAAAGUCCUUCGGGAUGAGUAGAGUGGCGCACGGGAGAGUAAUACAUAGGAACGUACCUUCAGGUGGGGAAUAACCACUGGAAACGGUGGCUAAUACCGCAUGGUGUCGAGAGACUAAAACGGGCCUCUAUUUAUAAGCUCGUGCCUGAAGAGCGGCCUAUGUCCCAUUAGCUAGUUGGCGGGGUAAAAGCCCACCAAGGCGACGAUGGGUAGCUGGUCUGAGAGGAUGAUCAGCCUCACUGGGACUGAGACACGGCCCAGACUCCUACGGGAGGCAGCAGUAGGGAAUUUUGCACAAUGGGCGCAAGCCUGAUGCAGCAACGCCGCGUGAGUGAAGAAGGCCCUUGGGUUGUAAAGCUCUUUCGGCCGGGAAGAAGGGUCCAUCUGCGAACAGCUGGUGGAUCUGACGGUACCGGAAGAAGAAGCACCUGCUAACUACGCGCCAGCAGCGGCGGUAAUACGGGGGUGCAAGCGUUGUUCGGAAUUACUGGGCGUAAAGGGCGCGUAGGCGGUCCUCUAAGUUGGAUGUGAAAGACUCUGGGCUUAACCCUAGGAGCCAUGCAGUCGAAAACUGUACGAUCUAGGAUUACCUGAGAGGGGAUGGCGGAAUUCCCUGGUGUAGCAGUGAAAUUCGUAGAUAUCAGGAAGGAACACCUGAUGGCGAAGGCGGCUACCUGGCAGGUAUACUGACGCUGAGGCGCGAAAGCGUAGGGGAGCAAACAGGAUUAGAUACCCUGGUAGUCCUACGCCCGUAAACUAUGGAUACUUAGGUGUACGGAGUGAUUGAUCCCUCGUGGUACCGCAGCUAACGCACUAAGUAUCCCGCCUGGGGAGUACGGUCGCAAGGACUAAAACUCAAAGGAAUUGACGGGGGCCCGCACAAGCGGUGGAGUAUGUGGUUUAAUUCGACGCAACGCGAAGAACCUUACCUGGGCUCUAACCUCCCUGACAGUCGGCAGAGAUGUCGUGCUUCCCGCAAGGGACACUAGUCGAGGUGCUGCAUGGCUGUCGUCAGCUCGUGUCGUAAGAUGUUGGGUUAAGUCCCGCAACGAGCGCAACCCUGUCCUUUAGUUGCCACCAGGUCAAGCUGAGCACUCUAGAGGGACUGCCGGUGAAAAACCGGAGGAAGGUGGGGAUGACGUCAAGUCCUCAUGGCCUUUAUGUCCAGGGCUACACACGUACUACAAUGGACGGCACAAUGAGUUGCAAACUCGCGAGAGGGAGCCAAUCUCAAAAAACCGUUCUCAGUUCGGAUUGCAGUCUGCAACUCGACUGCAUGAAGCUGGAAUCGCUAGUAAUCGCUGAUCAGCAAGCAGCGGUGAAUACGUUCCCGGGCCUUGUACACACCGCCCGUCACAUCACGAAAGCCAGUUGUACUAGAAGCCGGCAAUUCAACCGCAAGGAGAUAGCCGUCCAAGGUAUGACUGGUGAUUGGGGUG
rnacentral:rRNA from 1 species